rnacentral:rRNA from 1 species
UACAGAGGGGGCAAGCGUUGUUCGGAAUUACUGGGCGUAAAGGGCGCGUAGGCGGCCUGCUAAGUCGAACGUGAAAUCCCCGGGCUUAACCUGGGAACUGCAUUUGUGACUGCAUCGCUGGAGUGCGGCAGAGGGGGAUGGAAUUCCGCGUGUAGCAGUGAAAUGCGUAGAUAUGCGGAGGAACACCGAUGGCGAAGGCAAUCCCCUGGGCCUGCACUGACGCUCAUGCACGAAAGCGUGGGGAGCAAACAGG